rnacentral:rRNA from 1 species
AUUGAACGCUGGCGGCAGGCUUAACACAUGCAAGUCGAGCGGAGAUGAGGUGCUUGCACCUUAUCUUAGCGGCGGACGGGUGCGUAAUGCUUAGGAAUCUGCCUAUUAGUGGGGGACAACAUUCCGACAGGAAUGCUAAUACCGCAUACGUCCUACGGGAGAAAGCAGGGGAUCUUCGGACCUUGCGCUAAUAGAUGAGCCUAAGUCGUAUUAGCUAGUUGGUGGGGUAAAGGCCUACCAAGGCGACGAUCUGUAGCGGGUCUGAGAGGAUGAUCCGCCACACUGGGACUGAGACACGGCCCAGACUCCUACGGGAGGCAGCAGUGGGGAAUAUUGGACAAUGGGGGGAACACUGAUCCAGCCAUGCCGCGUGUGUGAAGAAGGCCUUAUGGUUGUAAAGCACUUUAAGCGAGGAGGAGGCUACUGAGACUAAUACUCUUGGAUAGUGGACGUUACUCGCAGAAUAAGCACCGGCUAACUCUGUGCCAGCCGCCGCCGUAAUAC